AAUGAGUUUGUCUGUGGUGCGCCGGGUGUACCUGUACAGCCCAUCACGUGGCCUUUUUUUAAAAACAAUGAAAACUGGUUCUUUUGGUUAACCAGUUAAACUAAGGAAAAUAAAAACUCCCGCUCGUUCAAAACCUAGGCUGCACACAGAUCGAUUUCGUCUAUCUCCUCCUCCAUAGCUUUGCACAGCCACAGCUCUAUUUCGGUGAAUUCAUAGCUGCACAGCUUCCUACAGCCUGAAGAAGCUCCCCCCACUUCGUCUUCUCCAUCUGAGGAGCAGAUUUCAGCCAAAACCCAGAAACCCACUUCGUCUUCUCCAGCUGCUUCCUCCAUCUCGUUAUGGAAGCUCAAAAAAGGGGAUCAACAAAAGGAAAGCGCAAAGUCGACAGUAAUGUGCAACAAUCAAGAGUUGGCCAGGAUGCAUUUUUUAAUUUCAUGUAAGUUACACGUACAUCUAAAAAUCGAAAAUGUAGUUGCUUAAUAUUAUGAUGGUUUUUUGAUUAAAAAUAAAUGAUUUACAAAAAAAAAAAGAAGACAUAAAAUGGGGAAAGUGGCAAAUGCAAAGUUGGACAAUAAGGUGAGAGAUGGCAAUGGAUUGGGUUAGUUUAUUAAUUAUUUUAUUAAAAAGGCUCUUUUAAUGAGAUUUUUUUUUCCAGGUACAAGAAGAGAUUGCUAAUAAAUGGAGGAAAUUAAACCUUAAAGAGAAGGCUACAUAUGGUUCAGCCUUGGAAGGUUCGAGUGGGCCAAGGAUUAAAAUAUCAACCAUGUAAAUAAUAUAGGGCCUCCAAUUUACGGAUAUUUCGGGGGAUAUAUUAUUAUCGUCUUAGGUAUCGGAAAAAA